GUUCACUGGUUGUCUGGCUCUCCAAGUGGGCUGGAAAUCUUGCAGGCAGAUGGAGUAGGGACCCAUGGAAUGGGACAUUCCCAGAGGUGGAAGGCUCAUGGGAAAUGUUAUUUUUGGUGCUCUGGCUUGGCUCAGGCCCAACGACUUGGAGGCCUUGGGAGGGGCUGAUAGAAGUUGUUUUUGUCACAUACUCACUCGUCUCUCGGGUAUGUUUCCCAAGUUGUGUUUGGUCACACCAAGAUCGGCUUCUGAAUGAUGGAGACCUUGCAGUCGGCCUCUGCCUGACCUGGUAGGUUUUUUUUAGCUGACCUGUCGUGGACUGCUCAAAGUUUCUGGUCCCACUCAAUGCUCUUUCUUGCCUGGUACCCCGCCCUCCAAUCCCCGUCUUAUUUCUUCUGCGUGCCUGGGCCUUCCCCUUUCAGUGCGAACCCUGUUUACCCGGUUACGUCACCUCUUUCAGGAAGCUUUCUUGGAGUGGAUUCUGACACUGCUCAUGCAUUAACUCUCUCAGCUAAGACUGAAGACUAUGGGGCCGUGCCCGUUCUUCUGGGAAUGUGUCACUUCACAUAAAGGCAGUCCCGAGUCCUUCCUUCCAGAAGCUUAUCUUCCCCAAGACAGUAGUAGCUGUCAUUUAGAUAGCUCUCAGCUUGAAAAAGUUUUGUGUACCUGCAGACCACCUCUACGAGGUGGGAACAAACUCCACAGUACACGUGAUGGUCCUUUAUUCUGAUUUGGCCACAGAUCCAUGAGAGAGGUAAUAUUUCCCUCCUUUUACCAAUGGGGGAAAAAGUCAAGACUGACAGAGGUCAAGACCACAGAGCCAGUAAGCAGUGGUGUGAAGUUGGUGAACCCCGGCCUGCCCAAGUACAAGGUGCUUUCUUAUAAUAAUAUCGCUGUUCGUUCCUGCGUAGCAUUUUCUUAUUUACUCCCCCCACCCCACAUCGUCUCCAUUAUCCUAGGGCCUUCCCCUAAGGUAGUGACCUUGGCAUGUUUAUGUCUAUUCUUGGAACACCUGCCAUAUUGGGUAACUCAACUGGCACCCAAUGAAUAUUGUCCUAUUGAUUGAUCGCCAACUGUAGUGGGCGGCGCUAAGAGCAUGGGAGCUGAUACGUUUUUCUAUUUAUCUACUUAUCUAAAAAAAGGUUUAAAAAAAUCACAUUUACUUAUGGGUGAGAGCCCUGGCAUGGAGGUCAGAGAACAACUUGCAAGAGUUGGUUAAGUCUCUCAGUAGGUGAGCGGCAGGGACUGACUGAGCUAGCUAGUCAGGCAUUGUGGCAGGUGCUGUUACCAGCUGAGUCAUCUCGCUGGUCUUAGUUUUGAUUUUAUCCAUCGAUUUGUGGUGUGUGUGUGUGUGUGUGUGUGUGUGUGUGUGUGUGUGUGUGUGUGUCUGUCAUAUGCAUGCAUGCAGGCAUGUGUGUGGUUGCCGGAGAACACCUUGCUACAAUUCUCUCCAUCUACUCUGUGGGUCCAGGGCCCUAGCUCAGGUCAUCAGGCUCAGUGACUAGCGCCUUGACCCACAGAGCAGUCUUGCUGGCCCAGCAGCUGAUGCUUAUCACACAUGCUCUGUCAGUCUCAAAGCCAGGUCUAGCUAACCACGAUCGGUUUCAGUCCUUCCAGCGGUUACCAGAACUAGCCUUUGGCAAGCAGACAGCUAGCAUGUGGUAGGGAUAAGAUUUGAAUUAUAGCUUUCCCUGACUCAAAAUUAUGUGCCCCUCCGCCCCUUUACCACCCCAGGCUUAUUUAUGGAAAGGUGACCUUCACCUGUGGAAAGUCCCGGUGAAGCUGCUUGGGUGCUUGCUGCUCCAUGCCUACCUGGCUCAGGGAGACAGGAACUGGGCGGCCCCUGCUAGACGGAAAGGCAUCUCGGGAAAUGGAGGCUUCGGUGGCAAGCAUAACCUGCUCAGAUGUCUAAAGUGGUUAAAGGAAUGUGGAUCACGUUAUAGGUGUUUGGUUUUUACCAUGACUGCUGAAUCGGUAACGACCUGUUCCAGAGCCACCGCUGGAUUCAGAAGGAGCUGGCAAAGGCCACUGGCAAAUGCCGUGAAGGAUUACGGCAGUGUGGAUGGCCGUCUUAAGGCCUGAGGCAGAGACUGAGGGUUCCUAUUCCAGGUAGAUUUUGUUCCUUUGUUCUAACAUCGGUUCCCCUUCCCCAUUUCUUUCAGGCAAGGAGGAAGAACACGGUCGGGUCUCCUGAUUCAUUGUGUCUCAAUGGGUCCAGUAGACUGGAUAACGGGGUACAUAUGAAAAAAACGGGGAGCAAGAGGGUAUGUGGAUGAAAGCAAAGAGCCCCAAACCAAAACAGAACAAACCCCCAAAACCAAAGCAAGCAAACAACAACAAGCAACCCGUCCCCCCAAUCCAAUGUCUUGUACCUCUAGGUUCCCACUCUGACCAGCAGGGCUUUUAGAGCCCGCUCUCCCAACCGGCCAGCAUGCCAAGUCCUCAACCCCUCUGGCUAAUCUCCUGGUUUUUUUUUUUUUUUUGUUUUUUUUCUUCUUAGAGUCAACAUUCAGGCCUUCAGCACCCGAAUGGACUAAGCUUACUGAAGUCACCGGCAGGUCUUCCAAGAUUUCCGAAAACGUACAACGUGGUGCGAUGUCUUCUGCGCGCGCGACAACGUUGUCUGCUCCUCUCCAUCUGUGUUUUAUCACGCCUGUACGCCUCAGAACCACCGAGAUGAAAAACAAGUCUACAAAAUACAUAGAUGUACGUAGAUGACUACGGGGAAGAGGGGGCUGCGUUCUGCAGCCUGGGGUUUUUGUUUUUGUUUCUGCGGAUUGUUUGUUGUAAGAAAAGCACAACAGCCUCGUAGACCAGGCGGGAAGCAGUCUCAGUGCGUCAGCAGAGUGAAGCCAGGGUCAGUUCUUCAGCCCUCUGGUCUCUGGGUUUCUAGAUGUGGGGAGAAAAGAAAGGAGCAGAUCCUGCUUCUUUAUCACUCCCUCCUUGUCCCCUCUUCCUUCUCCUUUCUGUCUCCUUCUCUGUCCUUUCUUCCUUUUUUUUUUUUUUUUUUUUUAGAAAGGAUCUUGCUAUUUUAUCUCAAGCUGUCCUUGAACUUGCUAUAUAGUCCAGGACCUCUUUGAACACUCCCCUUUUCUGCGUCAGCCUUCUGAGAGCGGCCAUGAUGAGCUUCCUCCCUGUUCUAUGUUCUAGGUGGAACUGGCUCCACUGGAGAUCAUCUAUGUCUGGUGGCUCACAGAUCGAGGUUCCACUGAGAAUCCCCUGUGAGGCUCAGAGCACUUCUGAGAAGACAUACACAAGCGGCACCAGAACCCUCAGAACUAACAGAAAUACAGACGGAAGCAGAAAAGCAGCGACGAUCCCAGAAAAUGGCUGUUAACAUAUCGAUGCCGUAAGACUUUAAGAUCGCCUGAAAUUGAUUCUCAUAAUUUCCCCCCGGCGCUUGAGAUUGUUUUCCCGUUGCUCUUGCAGCUUCUGCUGGACGCGGUAGCUCAAGUGGAGUCAAUGUGCGUUCAGACCUUCGAGCUCCCACCUCACGCCUGAGCAUGCCACCACCCGCUUGCUCCUACCCAGACUGCAGUGACUUAAGAUGCACUGACUCUCGUGUCCUUUCCACCCAGAUUGUCCUUUAAAGCCACAUACCUGCUCUUAUCUUUCUUGCGGACUCUCUGCUUGUUCCUUCUCGCGUUAGGGAUGACUUAGAGGCAGUAUCGACCCCAUGCUUCUGCCCCCAUUGCUCAGGAUCCGUUGCCGCACAUCCUUCUUACAACCCUUGGAGGAGCUGCAUCGCUGUUUGGCUCCAAGUCUAUGCAGAUGACUUCACUUUCCUCCCAGC